UACGGAGGGUGCAAGCGUUAUCCGGAUUUACUGGGUUUAAAGGGUGCGUAGGUGGGUUGUUAAGUCAGUGGUGAAAUACUUUCGCUUAACGAAGGAACUGCCAUUGAUACUACCAGUCUUGAAUACAGUGGAGGUAGGCGGAAUGCGUCAUGUAGCGGUGAAAUGCUUAGAUAUGACGCAGAACACCAAUUGCGAAGGCAGCUUGCUACACUGUUAUUGACACUGAGGCACGAAAGCGUGGGGAUCAAACAGG
rnacentral:rRNA from 1 species